rnacentral:rRNA from 1 species
AUACGGAGGGUGCAAGCGUUAAUCGGAAUUACUGGGCGUAAAGCGCGCGUAGGCGGUUUAGUCAGUCAGAUGUGAAAGCCCCGGGCUCAACCUGGGAACUGCAUUUGAUACUGCUGAACUAGAGUAUGAUAGAGGGAAGUGGAAUUCCGGGUGUAGCGGUGAAAUGCGUAGAUAUCCGGAGGAACACCAGUGGCGAAGGCGACUUCCUGGACCAAUACUGACGCUGAGGUGCGAAAGCGUGGGUAGCAAACAGAAUUAGAUACCCUAGUAGUCC